GGCCUCGUAGCGAAAUGGAUAUCGCGUCAGACUUCGGAUCUGAAGGUUGUGGGUUCGAGUCCCAUCGAGGUCG
rnacentral:tRNA from 1 species